CUCCUGCCUCCGCCUCUCGAGUAGCUGGGAUUACAGACAUUUGGAUACCUGGAGAGUCCACGUCCAUGAACACCCUCUGCAGGAUGUUGAGUUUCGUCUCAGCAGGCAGGUCACCCAGGGAUGUUCCGACCGCAUGUGCCAGCCUGCCUCCUGGAGCUGUGGCUCUGGUGUCAGGCUAGUUUUCCAGUCUCUGUUGUGCUGUUCACCCAGGGGCCAGUCUACACAGGAGUUGAGCUCACGCAGCCUUUGCUGUUUUCCCCAGGUCAGUGCCGUUCCUUUGGAGCUUUAGGGGUCUCUAACUCCUUUGCUGUGUCCUUUGAUUUAAAAGCCCAGGUUUUAGCCUCUCUGUGCUGAUCCCAUUCCUAUGACUAGGUCCAGCCUGGGGCCAAAGUGGAGCAGGGAUUUCCCUCACGCUCUUUGGACUAGAGCAGCCGUUUUCCAGUUCCUCUCGUCAGAGUGACGGGUUCUGUGGGAGUCGUGUCUGCAGGGCUGCAGCUUGCAGGAGUUUCUCUGCCCAGGAGGAGAGGGAAGGGGGCUUCUCUUGGAGAUUCUAAUGUUCAUCCCUAAUGUGUGGUUCUGAUAGACUACCCCAGACUAGGCUCAGCAGUGGACUAGGCCCAGCAACGGGAGGGGAGAACCCAGGAAAAACCCGUCACACCGGUCCUUGUUCCGGCUGUGGUCUGCCUGUUCUGUGUUACAUACGGGUGACUUGCUGUAGGACUGAGAUAGUUGCUCUGUUGGGUCCACAGUCACAACCCCUAGGAGAGACAGGGUGGAGGAGCCCGCGGGGACCUCUGUGGCCAGUUUAGUCAUCAGAGGUCACCCAAGACCCACUCUGAAUUCUCAUUUUGUGUUGCUGUGGACAUGGCUCAGAAAGGGGGCAACAAACAGUGCCCAUUUCCCAGCACCCAUGAACACAGCCCGGGUGCACUGCAGACACAGGCCUGGCAGAAACAGAUUACAAACGACUGCUUCACCCCUGCUGGAAGAGAGUCUCGCAGGGUGUGACAAACAGUUGUUCUAUGCCAAUAUGAACUGUUUUAAAUUAGGGGAUCAGUGUAAGGAACAAAACACUCCAUUAUGAACUGUCCGUGAACAUCAUUUAGCUCCCAAAGGCCUGUGUCAUUUUCAGCAUGAUUUCUUCCCUCUGCUGCCCUGGUGAGUGCUGAUAAUGUCCUCACAAUUCCAGACAUUAGCAAUCCACACCCGAUUUUCAGGGGCUGAAAGAUCAAAGUGUUCCUGUACUUGAAUACUAAGUACGUCUUCAGAAGAGCUGGUUUCUCUUUUUUUUUUUUUUUUUGAGACGGAGUCUCACUCUGUCGCC